AGCCGCCCUGUGACUCUUGUUUAGCCUGGAGAAGAAGGGAAGGCAAUGUUAGGAAGGGAAGUAAGGCUCACAGAUGGUUAGUAGUGUGAUACGUGACAAAAAUGGAGGAUAGAUUUAUGAAAUACAUGUGAUUAUGGUAUAUAGAAAUAUACAUGUGAUAUAUGUAUAUAGAUCUUUUGCUCCCAUAUCUCUCUCUCUCUCUCUCUCUCUCUCUCUCUCUCCUCACCAUUUAUCAAAAAAAAAAAUAUAUACUUAUAUUACUGUCCGAGGUGGGGAAAAAUUAAUUUUCAUCAAAAGCCCAAAUACAGCGCCACCUACAAUGCAGGCACUCUCCCGAACUAGGAGUCUCCCCAGCAUCCUUUUCUUUAACGGGACAGUCAAGUUAGUGUUCAGCGGGUUGGGCUGUGUGUGGUGUUGUGCUGUGUCGAACAUGAUAUUUAUUGAUUUGCUUUAAUUUUUGAAAGUUUUCGGUGCACAUUGGUGGUUCAGGAAGGAGGUGAAUGUUUCCUGGAUGUUAAGUGGCCCUGGCAGCCAGGAUGUAAGUGAAGGAAGGGCGCUUUUAAGUAAUGUAAUGAUUGGCGGAACCCGCGUGAGGGAUAGGCCGGAGCCAAUCUAAGGCAAGGCGCACAUUGAGACGCAGGGCAGCACAGAGCAGGGCAGACGCAGGGCAGGGCAGGGCAGGUCAGCACAGCGCAGCACAGGCGUGGUGCGCACAUUGAGAAGCAGGCUGUCGUCCUGUGCGGAAGUGUUGAUGAUGGCUGUUGCCAGAAAUUACUUUGGAAACCUUAGUUCCGAUUCCGACUCAGAAAACGAGUUCGAGAAAGUAAUGUUAUUAUAUGACAUUUGUAGAGCAAAGAGGUCAGUGUGGAGGAGUGAAUACAUAGAGAAGAGGAAAACACAUGGAGAAUUUGCCCAUAACUCGUUCUUAUAAGUUCCUCUCAUUAUAAUCAGGAUGACUAGUGUCAUACAGCACUCUUUGAUGACGAACAGCCUCUAUGAGUUGCUCCGUGGACGACAUUGUGAGUACUAAAGAGUGAGUUGCUAUCAAGCUGCGCCGCACGUGGCACAGGAAACUGCGUUCGAACGACUGCGUCGCGCAGGCCGACACAGGGACGCUAUUCUGCUGCUGAAUGAAGAAGGCUUGGUUGGAGGGCGAGGGCGAGGGAAGGCAGAGAAAGACCCUGAAACCAUGCUUUUGUCUGGCAGCCGCUUAGCACUUCUACACGCUCCGAGCUGCUUGGUGAGGCGCACGCAGAAGACAAAUGCAGACACGGAGAUCAAGCGAAGCCAGAUUAGCUCAAGGUGAUAUUCAAGAAUCCCCCAGUGACUAGUGAAGCUUCGGUUUGUAAUCACCACCACCACCACUACCGCUGCCGCCGCCUCCGCCGCCUCCUCCUCCUCCUCCUCCUUCAUCGCGAGCCUCCAAAAGUCUCAAGGCAACACCUGACACCCUCGCCUACACUUUUCCGACGACGUAACUGAAGAAGGCCUGUGCUGCUCCUACUUAGUGUUAUGGCGUGGAGGAAGAGAAGGGGCUGUACUCACCUGUACCAGCAGAUGCCAGCCCCGACCACGGCACACACCGCCAUGGCUGUGCUGCCCGCCAACACCGCUGCAGGGAAGAGAGAGUCAAGCUGAGGGCGCUGUCACCAAGGACGUCACCGGGGACUGUGGUGCAGCAGCUCGCCCGUCACCCUCAGGCGCCAAUAUGAACGGGACAAUACCUCGCGUCUGAUGUGUAAAUGGAGGUGCCAAUGGAACUCACCUG